ensembl:lncRNA
GAGCAGAUGUAAUUACCCAGUGUGUAUGUAUUUGUAUAAUAAUAUUUUUUAAUUUUUAAAUUACAUAUUUAUAUUCCUCCCCCCAUGUGUUGCAUGCAGAUACACUCUUCUCUGCAAAUGAUUCCUCUCCUAUGCUCUAUAUCCCAAAUCUUGUACUAAAACACUCUGCCACCUGAUGUAAAGGUUUAGGAGAGACUUUUGGAUUGUCUCAUCUGGCAAUACCCUUAGCUACAGUGUAAAUACAAGCAUAUAUAUUCCUUUUCUUCUUUCUCAAUUAAGCUCAUUCUUUCCCAAUCUAUUUUUAUUUAUAAAUUUAUUCGGAUGCUACCUGUGACAAUGGGAUGUGGUUUGGCCAGAAUUUGAUCUCAUGCAGCUCUUUCCACAGUCACAGCUCUCACAGUUAGACACUCUUAAGCCAGGUGGCCACAAGAGAACUCCCUGAAAGCUUGAUUGAUGAUACCAAUCAACCCGCUUAACUCCUCAGAGCUCGUUUUUGUCAGUCCUCCAUACCCUGUCAGUGCACUGGAAAGAGAGACUCAUUUCUAUAGGAAAGAAAGAAAAUUAAAUGUCUCUUGGGGCAAAAUAUCACAGGGUUUAGCUCAGCUGCCCAUGAUAAUGCCACUGAAGUCCCCAAUUCAUUCAUUAGCACCACCCUCUUUCUUCACCUAUCCAAACUCACCGAUGGUCAGGGGCUGGAAAAUGGCCUCCUCCUGAUACAACACAGAUGGUCUGUGGGUAUUUGACUCUGCCACUGGAUGAACAUAAGGCUUUCAGAAAACCAGUGAAUCCUUCAAGCAUUUUAAACACACUGCCAUGCAAGUAGGCAGUGAGUCCCACUAAAAAUGUUGAAGGGACGUCUGUGUCCUCUGCCUGACAUGAGGCAUCUGCACCAGAUAGUCCCAGGUGUCGAGCAAAUAACCGAAGAACCUCUGGUUACUUGCUGUAGGUUCUGUUCAAUCCACCAUCAACCCCAACUCAGAGCCUACACCUGCAGCCUUGGAGCUGCAUGUGGGUCCAGUAUGUACUAUGGGGCCCUCUUGUGGACAUCUACUCUAACAGCAACUCUCAGGUUUUCCUCCUCUCUCUGGCUCAGUAGCCACCAGGGUUGCAUUGACCUUAGGAAGUAUUUUCCUUCCUCCGCUUUCUUAAAUUACCAAGAAGUGCCCUUUCUAGUGGGCUCUUUCUCUCUCAAAGGCAUUAAGAGCCCUAAGGCCAACUUACAACAUGCCACUCUGUUGAAACAUUCAUCUCCCGAACCAUCAUGUCAUGACAACGUUUCUCCUUUUCUAUAUAUCCCUGCACUUAUGUAUUUAUGAAGAUAGGUGUGUAUGUAUUUAAAAUUUUUUUUUCAUUUUCAUCUGAUUCCUACAUUCAUACAGUAAUGUCUUGCUUCUUUUUCUCUCUAUACCUCAUCCUUCCUAACUUUAUUGAUCCCACAUGAAGACUGCAUGAGUGGCCUUUCCUUUGAAGUUUUUCAAGCCACAGGAGUUACCAAACCCACCAGAGAGACAAAGAAUGGUCUUUUAACCAGAGAGCCAUGAGUGAUCUCCGUAAGAUCAUGCUUUAUAUCUAUCAUUCUAUCGGACUUAAUUCACCUGACUUCGUUUUAUGUCAGUUUUCCAUACCAGGUGUAUAAAGACUACCGAAGAGACUCACAUGGAAAGAAAGUACAGGGUGUCAGGAAAUCUCUUGUGAGAAAAAUCACAGGGAUCAUCACAGCUCCUCACCAAAAUAUCACCUUUUUACCAACUUUCAUGUACAACCUGCAGGCAUUUUAUCCAGAUCCCAAAGCUUGGUUCAGGCCAGGGUUCAAAAUUACCAGAUCAACAACUGAAACCACCCAACAGAAAAUCAAAACAAACAACCCAAUUGAAAAAUGGGAAAAAACCUGAAGAGACAUUUCCCAAAACCAGAUCUCCAGAGGGCAACAAGCACCAGAAAAAAAUCAUCACCAUCACUCAUUAGAAGAGAAAUGCAAAUUAAAACGAUGCUGAGGUACCAUGUCACCCCUCUCUGAAUGGCCAUCAUGAGUGUGUCUACAAAAUCAAACCCAGGAGAGGGUGUGGAGAAAAAUGUGCUCUCCUACAGUAUGGGUGUGUAUGAAAUAUUGUACAACCACUAUGGUCCACAGAUUGAUGAAAUCCAAAAAAUAAUUAUAGAAUGACCAUAUGACAUCCCACUCUUGGACAUAUAUCCAGAACAUGUUUUUUAAAAAGUUAAAUACCCCAAUAUGAUCAUGCAGCACUAUUCACCAUAGCAAGACAUGGAAACAAUCUCUAUAUCCAUUGACAUAUGAUUGCAUUAGGAAGAGGAUAUACAUAUACACAAUGGAAUACUAUUCAGAUAUACAAAGAACAAAAAAAAAAUGUCAUUCGCAGCCACAUAGAUGGAAAGAGAAACUCUCAUACUAUGCCAAAUAUGUCAAAAGAGAAAGACAAAAACCUUAGGAAUACCCAUUUCUCUGGAAUCUAACAAAUGACAUCAAUGAUGCUUUCACACAAAAGAAACUCAUGCACUGGAAAACAGAUAUUUGGUUGCCAGACUGAAGGGGGAACUUGUAGGAAGGACUGGGAUUUGGGGGUAAUAGAUCCAAACUCUUGCACUUGGAGUUGGUAAGCACAGACAUUGUGCUGAAUAGCACAGGGUACUCUAUCUAGACACAAUUUUUGGAACAAAAUGGAGGAUAAUGUGAGAAAAAGAAUAUGUAUAUACAUGGACUACUGGAUCACUAUGUCGUUAAAGUGAAAUUGAGCAAAAUAAAUCAUCCAUAAUGGAAAAUAAUAAAUGAUUUUAAAAACCCACAAAAUAAUGUGAUCAGCAAUCACCAGAGGUGUCUAGGUUGAGACUCCUGGCUCUCAAGCAAAGAGAUGGCAAAACUGACUCUCUUGAACCUGACAGGAUUUCUUAGAAAUGUGACAUCUGACCAGACCUAAUUACAAAGUGUCUAUGAAUUUAUUUCUAUAAUAAAUUUUAUUAUUUUUACUUGCC